rnacentral:rRNA from 1 species
GACGAACGCUGGCGGCGUGCUUAACACAUGCAAGUCGAACGGAAAGGCGCUGCUUUUGUGGGGUGCUCGAGUGGCGAACGGGUGAGUAACACGUGAGUAACCUGCCCUUGACUUUGGGAUAACUUCAGGGAACUGGGGCUAAUACAGGAUAGGAGCUCCUGCAGCAGGGGGGGGGUUGGAAAGAUUCGGUGGUGGGGGCUGGACUCGCGGCUUAUGGGCUUGUUGGUGGGGUAGUGGCUUACCAAGGCUUUGACUGGUAGCCGGCCUGAGAGGGUGACCGGCGACAUUGGUACUGAGGUACGGCACAGACUCCUACGGGAGGCAGCAGGGGGGAACAUUGCACAAUGGGCGCAAGCCUGAUGCAGCAGCGCCGCGUGCGGGAUGACGUCCUACGGGGUGUAAACCGCUUUCGCCUGUAACGAAGCGUGCGUGACGGUAAUGAAUAAAAAAGCAACGGCUAACUACGUG